AGUCGUGUUUAACUCUGUGCGACUCCAUAGAUGGCAGCCCACCAGGCUCCCCCAUCCCUGGGAUUCUCUAGAACUGACUGAAGACAGUGGAGAACAGAAACCAGAGGCCUUAGGAGCAAGACCCAACAGGAAUGAAGACCACACAUCUCAGGAAUCAUAAAAAAUCUCUUUUCACCCAAAUCCACCCAGUGCUGACUAGCCGGAAACCAAGUUGGGGGCCUAGAAGUGGCACCAUAACAUCUGGCUGGAAGCCCAGUCAGGUGGACUCUUAACUACCAGACCACCAGGGAAGUCCCACGUCAGAUUCCUAAAUGCUGUUCCUCGUGGCUCUCUGCUCUUCCUGUUCCUCAGGGGUCAUGAAGACCAAGACCCUAAGGCCUGGGAGUCAUAAGCAACUUGCCAAGGUCACAGGACUGGUGCAGAAUGAGUUGGGGCUGCUGUUUGGAAAGCUCUGUGGCACUGUGGGCUAAGAUAAUCCUGCUGUUCCUUAACCUUCCACCUGGUUAUUCAACUGCCAGGAGUUUGUCUAAGUGCUGAACUAAGAGAUAUAUUAGCAAACAAUUAUCAGGACCAAAAUAGGCAAUAUUAGGAGACAGAGUGAAUGGAUGACGAUAAUUGCACACAUGAAAAAUGAAUGUGAACAAAACAAAAAUGUUAGUGAUGAUAGCAAACACAAAAGAGGGUGUGUGGUUGCAACUAUGUAAAGACUUGCAUAUAGGUGGAAGGUUUCAUGUUUGAAAAGUUGCAUUUUGUAGUAGUAUUAUGGAUACUACUUCGUUCUUUUUGCUUUUCUUCCUGGUUGUCAUAUUGUCUCUUCAGU
ensembl:lncRNA